UUGUUGUUGUUUUUGUUUGUUUUCAUAUAUAAGUGUAUAAAUUUAAUAGUUGAUUUUGUGUCUUUUCUUCUUCUUCAUCAUCAUCUAUAAUAAUAUAUUCCUAAUUUGAUGAAGUACCACCUCCAUCUGUACUAGAACAUGCUCCUAAUAAGUCAUCACAAUUUGCUGAUAG